AAACUUUCAGCAACGGAUCUCUUGGUUCUGGCAUCGAUGAAGAACGCAGCGAAAUGCGAUAAGUAAUGUGAAUUGCAGAAUUCAGUGAAUCAUCGAAUCUUUGAACGCACAUUGCGCCCGCUAGCAUUCUGGCGGGCAUGCUUGUUCGAGCGUCCUCA
rnacentral:rRNA from 1 species